CUUUAAGAAUUUUUUCAGUGUAUGUAACUGAUGAAGAUAUAGAUUAAAGAAUCACCCUAGGGGUGUUUAUAAGAGAUCAGCUGUUUAUUACCAGCAUCUUACUGCCCCUCAUACUUUCAGGGGGCUAAAGGAGAGACUUUGCUGAUUAAAAGCUUUUGAAGAAAUGAGAUGCCUGGAUCUACAAAGAGAGUGACUGGAUUGUGCAUCAUACUAGGAAACUACGGGCAUAAGAUUGAACUUCUUUGGUUUUCUUGCCUAUAGCUGAGCUGAGGAACAGGAACAAGGAAUUCCCUGGUUGUGUUUCCAGCUGCUGGACUUGGAACAGGAAGCUGCCUGUAACACUGGCACUGCUCUGCCUUCUUACUGGGACAAAGAAGCUGUUGCCUCUCACAUGGUAGUAUGGAGUGGACCCAGAUCCUGCCUGGAGGACCAAGAAGACUGACCCCAGCACUGUCCCUUCAUCUCCUUUGCUAUGGAAGCAAACAAGCAUCAGAAGUAAACCAACACGUUUCAUGGAAUGGUCCAGUCCUCCCAGGCACUGUACACACUGAAUGCUCUCAUUACUUUGAGGGAGGACACUGAUACUAUAAACAUCAAACAUGGUUUCUCAGAGGACUUCUGAACUUCACCAUAAACACACAAGUUUUCUGGUCUAUACAGGUAAAUGAACACUCCCUCUUAAAUCUUGUUGUUUUUCUCUUAAGGCCAUCUUUCUGUGAGUGAGGUAAAGGAGGAAGGAAAAAUCCUCAAACCCAAUGUACCAGGGCUAUUCUGCUUCUUUACAGCUAUGGUGUGUGAGCCCCUAUGUAAAUGUUUCGCGUUUCAACCAGCAGCAUCCUCAGUGCUGUUGUACUAUCGUGUCCCUGUACCAGUGUGAAGACAGAAGACAGAAGAAAGCUACAGAGGCCUAUUUGUAGAAGCAGAGAUCCUCUGAAUUUGGAGAAUUCACAAGAACAAUGUACAGAAUGUGAGAAAUAAACUGUAUUUUCCAGGUUUUCCCACAUGCAAUUCACCUUCUAAAAUUGACAGCGACCACCUAUUCUAAUUUCAGGGAUAAUUCCACAUGCUUCUAUGAACAAUUCAUCUCACAUCAGCAAUCUGCAGCUUACAAGCACCUCUGCUGUUACUAAGUUGUUAACAAUUUUGUCCAGCUUCAGAACUUUUUUUUAGCCAUUUGGUGUAGCUCUAGUCAAAGGAACAGCCAUAACGAAAAACCACGUUUGGAGUUGAGCUGCCUCUUGAAGAGGCAUCGACAAUUUCUUUCAUUUUCAGGUCAGAGGACUGGUAUUUUUAGUUUUAUGAGAAUUAUAGAGAAACUUGAACAAAUAACUGUUAGAGGAUAAGCAGCAGGAAAGGAGGUACCUGUUUUACAGUGGCACUGUACUCCAGUAAUGAGAGAGAGGAAUACAGUUCUCACUGGGAGAGACGGCCCCUCCUUUGUGUGUGGAAGAGUGGCAGGAAAGACCUCACUGAAGGGUAUCCAUUUUCAGUGCUACCAAAAAUCCCCAAUGCUACAACUGAUAAAACGUAUCAUUCUCCAGACUUGGAAAAGUUGGAAAAGCAAAUAAUUAGUUAAUUUGAUUCAUAACCUUUAUUACAUUUCUCCUCAGGGAUAAGUUGUAUCAUUUUGUUGUUGUGAACAAAUCACACUUUGUCCCUUUUAUAACUCAAACAGUGCAAAAUACUGCUCAUAACUGAAACUUAUUUUGAAAUUUUCAGUAUUCCUACCAAGUUCUAAACUUAUCUGAAAUAAAGCAAGGAAGCUGAAGAAGAAAAUACAACUCUUGGAGCUGCUCUGCCCAGACUGUUCUUGUGGAGACCAACAAACCAAAGAAAUCCAGAGCCUGUGAAAAUCAAGGUACCUUGAAUUUAUAAAGAUCUCAAGAACAAGACUUGUAGACAUGCUAAAAAGAUGCAGGCAUUCUUGCUCUUGGCCUUAAACUUAUAACAACAUCCAUUCAUCAUUGUCAAUAAAUGAGGGAUUAUCAAAGUAAAUUUACCAGGUGAUUAUUUCACUAUGUUCCCAUGCUCAGAAUAAAUACAAGAUAAUUCUUGAAGUCUGCCUACAGCCUCAGCUGCUAAGCUGACUUCAGUUUCUGGUAACUGUUCUCAGAACAGAGUCUGAAAACAGAACUGAUUAAAAUUAUACAGUAAACAAGCAAAAAUGAUGAUUACUCUAAAACAUUUAUUUACUCUUAUUUCUUAGCAGCAAGCCUAAUGAUGAAUUUCAUUGAAAGGUAUACAUGCAGUUUUAAACUGCUAUGUGAUUAUACAUAGAAAGACAUAGGUAGAAAAUAAUAACAAAACAAACUAUUCCAGAUCUUAUUAGAUGCCAAAAAGUAAGACAGCCAAAAUCGGUAACAGAAUCAUCAGGAAAUCCUGCUGUUCAGGGAGAACAUCUCACCACGGGGAAGUUUUCUAGCACUAAAAUGACCUUUAGUCUUCAGAUUAAUCAGCAUUUCUGUACAACUCUACACAACAUUUUUCCACCUAUACAACUUACUAAAUAUUGAGUAUGUUCGACAUGCAUGCACAUUCUCUAUGUAGGGCUACACUCUAUCAUAGCUUUUAGCCUUUUAGAGAACUAACUGCUUGCAUGUUUGCCUUGCUGUCAGAACAAGUUAAAGCCCGACAGAAUAAUUUCUAAUAUAAACCAGGAUGUCUGAUGGUUAUGUUUUCUUUUUUUGUGUGUGAAAUCAGACCUCGGAUCGAGAUGCUCUUCCGUUCUAUUGUUAUGCGAAUGAACUCUGAUGAAAAGUACUUCCACAAGCAUUAGUUUCCAUGACAAAUAAUGUCUUGUGUAUUUUUUUGUAUACAUGCUCUUACCUCUGUUAAUUAGGCAUCUCUUCCUUCUCUGCUGGAGUCCUAAUUGGACACUAAAAAGAAAUAGAUGCAAUUAAUGACUAGUCAUGUAUGUAUCAGAGAUAAAUUAGGCCAGUGCAGAAUGUCUUUCAAAGUUAAUAUUUCACAAAAUAUGUACACGAAUCACUUUUGUGUGUUUUCCUUCAAAUAUAAGCACGUGUCCCUGGGAGCAGAGGAGUAAUAGAGCAUCCACAAAAAUAGGUGAAGUGUUGUGUGGGAGAAUGACAUGAGGUGGGUUUUAUACUUUUGUACUUGUAAGAGCAAGGAUAGCCUCUUUGGGUGGUUAAAGGAGUGCACUUGUGAAGGGUACACAGAAAAGUCACUUGUCUCUCUGAAAUCUUUAGUCAACAGUUUAAAUGUGGGCUUGCCUCACAAAGGCCUGAUUUGGUGACGGGUGGACAGGAAAGUGAUUUUUGUUAUUUAUGUUUGCUUUGUCGUUAUUACUUAUGUGCUUACAUGUUUAAUACUGUAAGCAUUAAGUGAAGCUACAAAAUACUUAAACUGGAAAUAAACCAGGCUAAAGCUGUAGCUUCACAAAUCCAACAGCUACCACUGUACAUUUUCAACAAAUACGUUUGCAAUACUGGCAGCCCUGAUUGCAAUGUGUACUGUUUAGGUAAAAAAAAACAAACCACAAAACUUGUUUUCUUUGUAAUGACUUCCACACCCUCUAGUGUAGUGUAGGCAUGUACAAGUGUUUAUAGGUUCUUGAAAAAGUGCUGAGUAUUUCAACUGGGCUAACAGGAUUAGGUAAGGUAGUCUGAGUUCUCAGCGAUCCACAUGUCAAAAUGAGAGGCUUUGUUUGUCUUCCUAUUGGUUAACAGGCUCCAACUGAGCUGCUGGUUCAGGAAAGGUCUGCUUAGACACCACCUGCACGCUGGAGUGGAGUCAACUGUUGAAUAAGCAGACUGCUAGCAGCUUGGACUGAAAGCAAGGUGCUGAUGAGGGCUGUGGAUCAAAGCCAAGUGUUGGGGAUAGCAAACUUAAUCAAUGAGCUGACAGUUUGUGAAAGUCGAGCAGUGCUCUUCUGUGUGUGCCUUUUGGAUAAAGCUGAGGAAGAGAUUUGGUCUUUGGCAGCUGGUUAAGCAAACUUAAUUGAACUCUACUGCCUGCUUUACUGUAAUAGGUGUCUAAAAAGCUGGAAAUCACAAUCUGGAAGAAAUUUUGCUGGAGGUUGCUUUUUCUGAAGUGAUAACUGGCUGGAUGCAGCACCUUAGAGGAGUGGGUCUCUGCAUAGCAAUGGAUGAUGAAGUUAUUUCUUGGAUACGAAUGCCAUUUUCAGUGACAGCGAGAUGCUAUUAAUGACCAGUUGUCUAAGUACCUACUGAUUAACAGCUCAGCUAUUAAAUAUUUUUCAGUCCAGCUCCCUGUGAAAUUUCUGUGGAAAAAGCCCUUUGCCUUCCUCAGCAGACCACCUUCUGUAUCAGUCUUGACAAGGAGCUGGAUGAAUUGCAUGUUUGCCCCGUAGGUGUCACCGGAGGACUAAGCAUCUGAUGUGCUUCCUGAGACUUACCUUCAUUUAAAACUAUUAUGGAUGCUCAGCAAGUGUAUCAGAACCUCUCUGUGACCUGGACCUCUGAGCAAGACUAUGCACUGCUGGAUGGAAAAGCUGGAAAGAAACACAGCAGCUGGACAUUUCCCCAGGCCUGGGCGAUGUUCUCAUAGCACACCUCAGACCCACCAGCGUAGUCCCCAGCAGCAAGUGAAGUAGAAAGUACCAUAACCACAUUGCCAUUGGGCAGCCAUCUUCACAGCUAUUCUUCCUGCUGUCUCACUCUCAGCAUAGUCCAGCCAAGACAAUGCCCUCUAUCACUGGGUCUGUCACAGCUUUCCGGAAUGCAAAGAGAGAGAAGAGAACCAGAUAUGCUCUAGCAGAUCUUUUUCAUUUGCACCCUCAGUACUUUCUGAAACAUAGGCAGACAGUUGGGAAAACACUUUCAUUCAUUUCUAUCUAUACCCCUGAGCUACAACCUAGUGACCAACACUCUGAUUAUCAAAAUUUUCUGACUCUCAAGUUUGCAUAUUAUCUACACAUUCUACAAUGUUAAAUAUUCAUCAAAGCACUGGGAGUGUUUUAAGUAUUUAUUGCUUCUUUCUCUCAGGGCCCUGUAUGAGCACCUGGAGAAAAGACUGAAGAAGCCAGCUUCAUAAAUGAUUGCAUGCAUCAGGACAGAACCAACGCUGCUGUUCAUUAUCUUCAUUAAUGUUAAACACUUGCACUACUCUAUUGCCUUGCUUGAUAACUCAAGCUUGCAAAAAAAUCCAGAUGAUGAGAAAAUGCAGAUUUCUCUAAAGCAUAAGCUUGGUGAAACUAAUUCAGUACAGUCACAAAGAUAAAAAAGAAAAAAUCCACUUGGGAAUAAUCUGGUUUCAAAGCACUAGUUCUGCUGGGCAGGUGGGAAGAGAGGGGGUGGAGAGCAAUUCUGCUGCACAUGUUCUGCCAUGAAAUUCUGAAACAGAACGUGGUUUUACAGCAGCGUGGGCUGAGAAGGCUGGGGCUGGAUCCAGCCCUUGAAACACUUGAACUCAACCUUCUGACCUCAGCAAGAUUCGUCUUAGAGAAAGAACAGCACACAUUAUCCUGGCAGCCAAGAAGGUUGCUUUCUCCUGCUAGCUCUCCAACUGCUGGAACAAGCUGCUCAGCAGCGAUGAACCCAAGGAGUGAGGCUGAGCCAUCCCUGAUGCACUCGGGGUUGCUGUGCACAGGGAGGCCCUGGGCUCCCUUCUCCAUUUCACCAGGGAUGCAGGAGCAGGCAGGCCCUGGUGUGUAAGAGCAGCACGGUGCAGAGGCACAUCUGAGGCUGUGCUCAGGACAACACAGAGAAUGCAGCAGUGUUGACACCUCUUAAAUAUGACCCUUAUCCUCAGCAGUACAAUUUUCUUUUGAAGGCAUUUUCCUGUUGCUUAAGACUGCAGAACCAUCUUUCCCUGAGCACAGAUUUCUCUUUUUAAGACAUGCAUGUGUAUAAUUUAUUUAUGCCUAUGGAUUUCAGUUUCACUGGCCAGUUUCCUGCUUUACUCAGUUCACAUCAAGAUUACCACAAUCUUACAGACCACCAUACUUAACUGCUGACAAAACUCUUCUUAAAAAAUGAAAAAAACCCAACCCUAUACUAAAUUAAGUAGGUAAGAAAUUAUGACAACAGAAUGACAGUAAAAAUAAUAUUGUUAUAUUUACAGCAAUUAGUAAAAUUCCUUCUGCAUACACUUUGCCAGAAGUUCCAACAGCUGCCUUAUCUUCUCCAAUACUAGAAGAUAAUGAAGUGUUAGAACCUCGUGCCAAUGUGCUCGAGGCAUAUUAAGGCACAUAACUAUCAAAGAUGCACAAUUAUACGGAAUAAAAGAAAUGAGAUAUGAAACACUCCACUGCCAAAAUGUAAUGAUUUUGGGAUCAAUUUGAAGUACAUGUAUGACUCAGACGAUCUGCAGCCUAUUAGGAAAACAAAACUGAAACAUCAAUGGAUACCCAACUUUUGGUUCAGCUGUUUUAACACGAGCAAAAGAACUGCAUCAUUUGAAGUAAUCUAUCGCAAUCUUGUGUAAUAGUCUUUUGGACUCUUGUACUAAACAAUUUCAUUUGCAUGUCUGCCUAUAAGUUUAUCACAAGCAGAUUUACCAUGUACCAUGCACCAUGUACCAGCCAGCUAACAUUCCUGAGUUGAUCCUUAUUUGCAUCUUUAUUUCAUCUAACUUCACACUUUACCCGUAUGCCUGUCUAUCAAUCUUUCUGAAACUUCUGAAACUGAAUUUCUGGAGGAAAAAUAAAAAAUAAAAAACAAAACAAAACAAAAAAAAAUCUGCCUUUGAACCAUUUCAUCACCAUGGAGGAGCAGCCAAUAAACAACACCACCAGGCUAAGUAAAAGUGCAGUGUGUGUGUCAGUAACUGCAUAUCUUUCUGUGUUUCAAAUGUCCAUUUAUUUUUACAGAGCCUUCAAAAGAGCACAGAUUUGAAAGAAAAACAUUACUGCAGAAAGGAAAAAGUGUGCGGGGGGGGGGGGAGGAGGGGGGGAAUUUUAAUCACUAAACUUCAUUUACUGCUUUAUACAAAAAUGCUUUUUUUCAACCAGAUCACUGCAUUCUCCACUGGAAGAACUUGUGCCCACUUUCUCUUUCCUAAGCAUUCUGUUGUUCUCAAACUACUGAAUACCAAGGGAUUUUUCUUCUGAGCAUUCAAAAAUAAAAUUUCUCCUCAGACUCAUUUUAGCUCAUUUCUCCUUUAACAACAAUUCUUGUUCCUUCACUUUUCACACACCCACACGACUCUCUGAAAGACUUUCAAAUCUCAUAGAGUACUGAUUCUACUGAACAAAAUAUCCACUACCAUUUGACAGGCUGUGUAAUCAAUGCAAGCUCCACAAAAGCACUCCCAUCUCACCAACAAGUUAAUUUUUCAAUCUAGCAGAAUACAUUUUUUUCCUGCUUUUCUUAAUUAUUUUUCUGGGAAAAAUAAUAACCAUUCUCCAGAGAGCUUCUCUUUCACUUGAUGACAAUUAUUCUGUUUGAACUUUUAGAGUAGUUACUAAAUUACUGCUCCCUUAACAGACUAUGGGGUAGCAGAGAGUAGGUGGAAGGCUCAUUAAGUACAAUGGAUUGUGUAGGCUGUGAGAAAAAGAACCCUUUCUAUAAGGAUUCCCCCCAGGAAUGUGAAUAUUUUGUGUAAGUAUGAAUGCAUUGGACCUGGCUAGGAUGGAGUUAACUCUUUUCAUAGUAUGGUGCUGCGUUUUAGAUUUGAUUUAGUUAAUGCUAUGCUCACCAAUAAAAAUGGGGGGAGGAAGAAGAGGGUGGGCUUUCUAGCUUACAAGGUGGAUGCUGUUUGGAGACAGGCUGGGCUUCAGACUGCCUGUGGGAGGUGGUGAACGACUUCCUUUGCUUUGCUUGUAUUUUUUUUCCCCUCUUUCCUUUACCUACUAAGCUGUAUGAAUUUUGAUCUAUGAGUUUUCUCGCAUUUGCUCCUCCUGCUCUCUCUCAUCCCACUACAGGCAGGGCAGAGGUGUGUGAGUGAGUGGCUGUGUGGGCACUUAGCUGCUGACUACAGUCAACCCACCAUAUCAGACAAGUAUAACCCUCUAAAAAGGGACAUAUGUGGCAUAACCUUUAUUUCUAAAGCUUUUCAGGCUAUGUCAGUAUCAGUAGCAACCACCACGCAACGAAUACUUCCUUCUGUCAGCUCGUGACAGUUCUCCAGAAGCUGCUGUCCAGCUGAACGCAACCCUGGCAUGGCUUCAUCUGGGCCUCUCACACCUCCCCAACUCACACCUGUGAUGGAACAAAAAAAUGCUCUAUUUGCUCAGCUAAAAAGAGUCAGCUGCAGUGCCUGACUAACACAGAGUAACAGAAGAGUUUUAGAACUUAUACCUAUUUAUUCCUGCAUUCAUCUAGUUUGCACACGCACAAAAAUUUUAUCUGCAAAGGAAGAAAAUGGUCUUUAGCUCCGAAGAGCUCUUUGAUUCUCUUAUUCAACUAUAAUAUGAAAAUAUGAGAAUGUUGGCUUUGUAAAGCAUAAUUAUUUUUUACAUGACUGUAAUAUCAAUAAGGGCUGCAAAAUUCUUCAGGGGUACAGUAGCUAAACAAUGGUAUCUGAGAUGGAAACCAGACAGUGAAAGAGAAGACUUGCAGAAAAGUUAAUGUUGGCACAACUGAAGAGCUUAUGCUUAAAAAGGAAGAGGAAAUAUCUUACGUUUUGUAAGUUUUUGGACCAGUGACUAUUUGGAAGGCAAGGACAAGGACAGGGAAGGCUUUGUGCAAAUAAACAAGCAUACAGCCCGUGAGUCUUCCAACCCCCUUCCAAUACAAUGAGGAUGAACACAGUUUGAUGGAGAAGAGCAUACAGUACUUCAAGAUGUUGCAUUUCAAAACCCUGUGCUCAAGAUUUUUUAAAAGCAUCUUAUUCACUGGAGUCAAAUGCAGUCGUGCCUAUGCUACUAUCAGAACAUCUAUGAUUUAUCUAGCUCUACAGCAACAGUAAAUUAUUCCCCAUACCCUGUUUUGUAUUCUAAAUAUAGACACAGUGUUGCUCUACAAUGUUAAGCAGAUUAUGUACUUUAUAUCAAAAGAAUUACAUUUUGGAGGCUGAUAAAGUCACAGUACAGCUUGUGUUCUGCAUUCAAGUAACAGGAUAUUCUAAGCUCUCUGAUGGCUUCUGAGAUUUAGCUCUUUCCUCUUGAUCCUGCUGUGUUCCUGGAAAUCUUUCUUCUUUCAUAGAAACCAGCAGGAGUUUUGCUCUGUCUAGCCAACAUUAUUUUUAGAACUGAAUUUAAGAGGAGUGGGAUAAAGAGCCUACAUCUGUGAAAUGCCAUGGUAUUUCUAGAAUAAGUUCCAGAGACAUGUGCUAUCAAUAGUUUUCAGAUACAGGCAUUUAUAUUCAGGUUAUAAAAAAAAUCACCUUUACAUUCCCAAACAGUAGCUAAAAGAGGAUGAGAAGACUAGUUGAAAUAGCAGUUAUUAUCUGGACUGCACUCAACUGCAUCAAUUAAAAGGCUGCUGUCUUUAGGUUGUGUAUACACACCAGCAAAAAUUAUCUACCAAAGCAUUUCUUCCAUGGCAAAAAUACGGGUACAGCAUGUGCUAAAAUUAGACACUUCAUGGGAAACAAAGACAGGAAAUAAAGUAAAACACAGUUCUCCCUUCAAAACACAUAUCAUGCAAAUUAGACCUCUAGUCAAUCAGGUAUAUUAUUAGCCUCAGGAGAACUUUGUUUUCAAAGGCCAACCAAGGUCCUCUCUUAGUUUGCUUAACUCAGUAUAGAUUACAACUUGGUGCACGUUUUGGCUUUCAGAUUCAAAUAUUAGAAAAUUGUUGCUGGUGACUCUGGUUAAUUGUUUUAGCUCAGGUACAUCACAUAUAAACUGAAGGACAAUGACUGUAGUCAAAGCAAUUAAGAGCUAAACAAGAAACAGGCUCUGCUGCACACUUUAUCUCCUCUUUUUGUAAAACACAGAUCAUAAUUAUGAACUCUAUAAGCAAGUUUUAAGCCAAAAGAGGCAAAAAAUCCAGUCUAUCUCAGGUCAGUUUUGCACAAGUAUGCAAGCAAUAUGAAGUUCAUCUUCAUGGCUUUUUUUUUUUUUUCUUAAAGAUGACACUGACAACAAAACAAAUUUCACUGAUUUGCAGUGAGAAGCAGGAGUAACACUGCUUCACUUAAACGCUUCUAGAGAGAGAAACUCCUGAUGUUAGAACAAAAGUUACACAAUACAAUACAUGAGUUCACCAACAACAGGACUGAAAGAAGUAGGUCAGUUUGUCCUGGUCUUGUGGUUGUUUCCCUCUGCUCCCAUAUCUUAAGGAAUGCAUCUAGUUGUCUCUGCUGUAUGAACAGCCACAAACCAGUGUGCAGCCACUUUGAUCCUCCUCACAGAGCUGAGCGAUGUGACCAGGGGCCAGUUGUAGUUAGACUCUCAUGACCUCUUGGAAUAUAUGAAGUGAUGCGCUGUUUCUCUUGUUCCUGACUGCCAACAACUGUAAUGCUACUUUUCAUAUAAAAUCCAUUAGUAUUUAAAUACACCUGUUACAUGCAUUAUUGCUUGCCCUCUGAAUUUUGUAUGAGCAAAUAAGGGUUGAACAGCCUAAUGUUGAAUUAUCUGCUAUAUACCAUAAGAUCUGCCAUUGCUGAAGAAAGGUUAAACACACAGGACUGUUCCACAUGAUUGUGAAAUAAACGCAGCCUCUGACUGAUGGCUGAAAUAAAUCAAAUGCUCCUAGAAGGGAGCAAUUGGCUACCUGCUAAAAGUUAUAAAAUUUACCUUUUAUGGCAUGAUGUGCAUUGAGGCCUGUUCUGCU